rnacentral:rRNA from 1 species
UACGAAGGGGGCUAGCGUUGCUCGGAAUCACUGGGCGUAAAGGGUGCGUAGGCGGGUCUUUAAGUCAGGGGUGAAAUCCUGGAGCUCAACUCCAGAACUGCCUUUGAUACUGAGGAUCUUGAGUUCGGGAGAGGUGAGUGGAACUGCGAGUGUAGAGGUGAAAUUCGUAGAUAUUCGCAAGAACACCAGUGGCGAAGGCGGCUCACUGGGCCCGGUACUGACGCUGAGGUGCGAAAGCGUGGGGAGCAACAGG